rnacentral:rRNA from 1 species
CGUAGGUGAACCUGCGGAGGGAUCAUUACAAGAAGCCGAAAGGCUACUUCAAACCAUCGCGAACUCGUCCAAGUUGCUUCGGCGGCGCGGCACCCCUUAACGGGGGCGCCGCAGCCCUGCCUCUCCGGAGGUUCGGGGCGCCCGCCGGAGGUACGAAACUCUGUAUUAUAGUGGCAUCUCUGAGUAUAAAACAAAUAAGUUAAAACUUUCAACAACGGAUCUCUUGGUUCUGGCAUCGAUGAAGAACGCAGCGAAAUGCGAUAAGUAAUGUGAAUUGCAGAAUUCAGUGAAUCAUCGAAUCUUUGAACGCACAUUGCGCCCGGUAGUACUCUACCGGGCAUGCCUGUUCGAGCGUCAUUUCAACCCUCAAGCCCUGCUUGGUGUUGGGGCCCUACGGCUGCCGUAGGCCCUGAAAGGAAGUGGCGGGCUCGCUACAACUCCGAGCGUAGUAAUUCAUUAUCUCGCUAGGGAGGUUGCGGCGUGCUCCUGCCGUUAAAGACCCAUCUUUAACCAAGGUUGACCUCGGAUCAGGUA